UAACGCGUAUGCAAUCUACCUUGUACAGAGGGAUAGCCCAGAGAAAUUUGGAUUAAUACCUCAUAGUGUUAUUGAAUGGCAUCAUUUAAUAACUAAAGUUCUAACGGUACAAGAUGAGCAUGCGUCCCAUUAGUUAGUUGGUAAGGUAACGGCUUACCAAGACAAUGAUGGGUAGGGGUCCUGAGAGGGAGAUCCCCCACACUGGUACUGAGACACGGACCAGACUCCUACGGGAGGCAGCAGUGAGGAAUAUUGGACAAUGGGCGCAAGCCUGAUCCAGCCAUGCCGCGUGCAGGAUGACUGCCCUAUGGGUUGUAAACUGCUUUUAUACAGGAAGAAACACUGCUACGUGUAGCAGCUUGACGGUACUGUAGGAAUAAGGAUCGGCUAACUCCGUGCCAGCAGCCGCGGUAAUACGGAGGAUCCAAGCGUUAUCCGGAAUCAUUGGGUUUAAAGGGUCCGUAGGCGGCCUUAUAAGUCAGUGGUGAAAUCUCCUAGCUCAACUAGGAAACUGCCAUUGAUACUGUAGGGCUUGAAUUUUUAGGAAGUAACUAGAAUAUGUAGUGUAGCGGUGAAAUGCUUAGAUAUUACAUGGAAUACCAAUUGCGAAGGCAGGUUACUACUAAUGGAUUGACGCUGAUGGACGAAAGCGUGGGUAGCGAACAGGAUUAGAUACCCUGGUAGUCCACGCCGUAAACGAUGGAUACUAGCUGUUCGGUCUUCGGACUGAGUGGCUAAGCGAAAGUGAUAAGUAUCCCACCUGGGGGAGUACGCACGCAAGUGUGAAACUCAAAGGAAUUGACGGGGGGCCCGCACAAGCGGUGGAGCAUGUGGUUUAUUCGAUGAUA
rnacentral:rRNA from 1 species